rnacentral:rRNA from 1 species
AAUCGCAUGAUUCAAGUUUGAAAGGCGGCGUAAGCUGUCACUUUAGGAUGAGCCCGCGGCGCAUUAGCUAGUUGGUGGGGUAAAGGCCUACCAAGGCAAUGAUGCGUAGCCGAGUUGAGAGACUGAUCGGCCACAUUGGGACUGAGACACGGCCCAAACUCCUACGGGAGGCAGCAGUAGGGAAUCUUCCACAAUGGACGCAAGUCUGAUGGAGCAACGCCGCGUGAGUGAAGAAGGUUUUCGGAUCGUAAAGCUCUGUUGUUGGUGAAGAAGGAUAGAGGCAGUAACUGGUCUUUAUUUGACGGUAAUCAACCAGAAAGUCACGGCUAACUACGUGCCAGCAGCCGCGGUAAUACGUAGGUGGCAAGCGUUGUCCGGAUUUAUUGGGCGUAAAGCGAGCGCAGGCGGAAUGAUAAGUCUGAUGUGAAAGCCCACGGCUCAACCGUGGAACUGCAUCGGAAACUGUCAUUCUUGAGUGCAGAAGAGGAGAGUGGAAUUCCAUGUGUAGCGGUGGAAUGCGUAGAUAUAUGGAAGAACACCAGUGGCGAAGGCGGCUCUCUGGUCUGCAACUGACGCUGAGGCUCGAAAGCAUGGGUAGCGAACAGGAUUAGAUACCCUGGUAGUCCAUGCCGUAAACGAUGAGCGCUAGGUGUUGGGGACUUUCCGGUCCUCAGUGCCGCAGCAAACGCAUUAAGCGCUCCGCCUGGGGAGUACGACCGCAAGGUUGAAACUCAAAGGAAUUGACGGGGGCCCGCACAAGCGGUGGAGCAUGUGGUUUAAUUCGAAGCAACGCGAAGAACCUUACCAGGUCUUGACAUCCUGCGCUACACCUAGAGAUAGGUGGUUCCCUUCGGGGACGCANAGACAGGUGGUGCAUGGCUGUCGUCAGCUCGUGUCGUGARAUGUUGGGUUAAGUCCCG